rnacentral:tRNA from 1 species
AAAUGAGAAGUAAAUAAUUACAUUUAGUUUCGACCUAAAAAUUGGUUAAUUUGAUAACCCCCAUUUA